UACGUAGGCGCGAGCGUUGUCCGGAAUUAUUGGGCGUAAAGAGCUCGUAGGCGGCCGGUUGCGUCCUGCUGUGAAAUCCCGGGGCUUAACCCCGGGCGUGCAGUGGAUACGGGCCGGCUGGAGGCAGGCAGGGGAGAAUGGAAUUCCGGUGUAGCGGUGAAAUGCGCAGAUAUCGGGAGGAACACCGGUGGCGAAGGCGGUUCUCUGGG
rnacentral:rRNA from 1 species